GACGUAGGGCGCAAGCGUUGUCCGGAUUUAUUGGGCGUAAAGAGCUCGUAGGCGCCUGUCGCGUCGACUGUGAAACACCACGACUCAACCGUGGGACUGCAGUCGAUACGGGCAGGCUAGAGUUCGGUAGGGGAGACUGGAAUUCCUGGUGUAGCGGUGAAAUGCGCAGAUAUCAGGAGGAACACCGGUGGCGAAGGCGGGUCUCUGGGCAGUAACUGACGCUGAGGAGCGAAAGCGUGGGGAGCGAACAGGAUUAGA
rnacentral:rRNA from 1 species